rnacentral:snRNA from 1 species
AUCCUUUGCAGACGACUUAAAU